rnacentral:rRNA from 1 species
UACGGGGGGGGCAAGCGUUGUUCGGAAUUACUGGGCGUAAAGGGUUCGUAGGUGGCCCGCUAAGUCAGACGUGAAAUCCCUCAGCUCAACUGGGGAACUGCGUCUGAGACUGGCAGGCUCGAGUGCAGGAGAGGAACGCGGAAUUCCAGGUGUAGCGGUGAAAUGCGUAGAUAUCUGGAGGAACACCGGUGGCGAAGGCGGCGUGCUGGACUGUUACUGACACUGAGGAACGAAAGCCAGGGGAGCAAACGGG